rnacentral:rRNA from 1 species
CGUAGGGUGCGAGCGUUAAUCGGAAUUACUGGGCGUAAAGCGAGCGCAGGCGGUUCUGCAAGUCAGAUGUGAAAUCCCCGGGCUCAACCUGGGAACUGCGUUUGAAACUACAGAGCUAGAGUAUGGGAGAGGGAGGUAGAAUUCCAGGUGUAGCGGUGAAAUGCGUAGAGAUCUGGAGGAAUACCGAUGGCGAAGGCAGCUUCCUGGCAUAAUAUUGACACUGAGAUUCGAAAGCGUGGUAGCAAACAGGAUU